rnacentral:piRNA from 1 species
GAGCGUUAGCCACCCAGCAUUGAGCUGCC